rnacentral:lncRNA from 1 species
GGAGUGGUACCAGGCUACCAGGGAUUGAUCUCAGGGGCACCUGACCACUGAGUCACAUCCCCAGCCCUAUUUUUGUAUUUUAUUUAGAGACAGGGUCUCACUGAGUUACUUAAUGCCUCACCAUUGCUGAGGUGGCUUUGAAUUUGUAAUCUUCCUGUCUCAGCCCCGUGAGCUGCUGGGAUUAUAGGUGUGCACCAGACUACAAUUUUAGGUAUUUUUUUUAAUUCUCAGGCAUUUAUUCUUCUACAUGGAAGUUAAAAUCACUUGUCUAAUUUAAAAAGAAAAAGAAGAAAAGUCCUACUGGAAUUCUAGUUGGAAUCAUCUUCCAUUUACCUAUUAAGUCUGAGAGAAUUGGCAAAUACCUCAAGCUCAGAAACUGUAAACACAAAAGAGCUUCAUUCAGCAUCUGAGACCUGCAGUUUGGGAAAACAAAGAUUCAGACAUUUAGAGUCAGUGCUAAGUGCUGCAAGGUCACUGAGAUUGUCCGACUUGGAAAGGGAAGCAAAAGCCGAGAAGCAUGGUAACUGGUGCGGAGAAGUGGUCCUGACCCUAGGGUGCCUCACCGGACCCCACAGGGUCGACUCUUAGGGCUGCGUCUGGAGGAAAGGCUGUUUCUCCUUGUGACAGGCACUCAGCUGAACCUCCAGCGAAAGAGGUUCAUGGCUUCGCAGCCUUUGGCCCGGUUCAGAGGUCAGCAUGCCCACGUCACUGUCUCGUGCCCAGGUAGAGUUCCCUUUCCUGGGAAGCCCUUGUCAUGUGUGCAGAGCCCAAUCCCUUAAUGGCCUCCCAACUCCAUUUUAAAAUGAGCUCUGAAAGCAUUUUUAUUGUCAUAUUUUUUGGGGGGGAUUUCACAAAAAACAAGAGACUCAAAACCAUCUUGUUUCCGAGUCAACGGGCUCUCCACCCAUGGCAGCUUCACAGUGAAAGCCAACACCGUGUGCAUUUGCAUUAGGAUAGGAGGUGCAUUCCUUUAAUUUAGAUGAUGAACUGAAAACUCCAAACCUGGGAGCCAGGAUAAGCUGUCCCUCUUUAUAAGUGGAUUCCU